rnacentral:rRNA from 1 species
CCUACGGGUGGCAGCAGUGGGGAAUAUUGCACAAUGGGGGAAACCCUGAUGCAGCGAAGCCGCGUGAGUGAAGAAGUAAUACGUUACGUUAAGCUCUUUUUGCAGGGAAGCAAUACCGACCUUACGUUCACCAGACGGUACAUGAGAAAGAAGCUCCGGCUAACUACGGGCCCGCAGCCGCGGUAAUACGGAGGGGACAAGCGUUAUCUGGUUUUUUUGGGUGUAAAGGGGGCGGAGACGGUGCGCCAAGUCUGGAGUGAAAUGCCGCAGCUUAACUGCGGAACUGCUGUUGAAACUGGCGAACGAGAGUUCGAGAGAGGUAAGCGGAAUGCGGGGUGUAGCGGUGAAAUGCGUAGAUAUUAGGAAGAACACCGGUGGCGAAGGCAGCUGACUGGAUCGAAACUGACGUUGAGGCUCGAAAGCGUGGGUAGCGAACAGGAUUAGAUACCCGAGUAGUC